UACGGAGGGGGCUAGCGUUGUUCGGAUUUACUGGGCGUAAAGCGUGCGCAGGCGGUUUUGUAAGACAGGUGUGAAAUCCCCGGGCUUAACCUGGGAACUGCAUUUGUGACUGCAUAGCUAGAGUGUGGCAGAGGGGGGUGGAAUUCCACGUGUAGCAGUGAAAUGCGUAGAGAUGUGGAGGAACACCGAUGGCGAAGGCAGCCCCCUGGGUUAACACUGACGCUCAGGCACGAAAGCGUGGGGAGCAAACAGG
rnacentral:rRNA from 1 species